rnacentral:lncRNA from 1 species
CAAAUCCCUGUGAAAGGACAAGGAAGACACUUACUCUCUACCUUUCUUUUUUAAGGUUGUGUGGAGGAAACUUGGAGAUGCUGCAGGUUCAUGUCCUGGAAUUAGGCAACAUUUAUCAGGAAACCAGUACAAAGGACCCAUGUGAGAAGCCCUCUUUUUUUCAAACCUGAGAUCACCACUGCCAGACAGAGAUAAAGGAAGAGACGAGUGGAUUUCCACAAACCUGGACUCAUGGAAUAAUAUGGAGUGAUUGUACAUUGCACAUAUCUCCCCUCUGAAACCCUCAGUACCACACUUCCCCCAUCAAGCUGAUAUUCUGUGUCUCACUUUAGUGUUCAUGACAAACAAGUUAGCUUUGGGAAAAAAGAGUCGCCAUUUUGGUACCAAUAUUUUCAUUAGAACAAAAGCAUUUUUAACUCCCCAGAACUGAGAAUGUAAUUGGGAAAACUGCAUGGUUGGAAAGAGUUUUGAUAAGAAUUGACUCAUAGCAUACAAUGGUGGGAACUUUCUACCAAGCUGUAUUGGAGAGGUUUGCCAGCUACCCAAAGUUGAGAGUUGGGCACCUUCUUAUACUUCCCUUGAGAAAAGUUCCUGAUGCAUCCUUUAUUUGGAUGCAAGUAGAUUUGGUCUCUGGGGUUUUGAUUUGAGUUGCUGCGAAGACCACAUCAUUUCUCUUAGCCAGCUAGAAGGGUAGCAAGAGUUUGUAGAGUACCUAUCAUAGUACCACUUAUUUUGAUUGAUAAAAAAAUACCUUUUAAUCUUGAUGAGUUGCUCAUAAAAACAUUCUGGGGACAGACCAACCUCUAUAUUCAUUCAGUAUAUCCAUUUCAACUAAAAAUAAAUUUUUCUAAGUGUUUCGAGCUGUGAGAUGUCAAUUUCUACAAUUUAGUUUCUAGACAUGCUGUAUAUUUAAUAAACUUUAUGUAAACUUUACAAGAUUGCACUGCAUUUAUGAAAAAAGCUUUCUUUGCCUACCGCAGCUAUCUAGCAUUUUCUGAAACUAACGCAUGUCCUUCAUUAUUAAGGCUAAAAGCUCUUGUUCAGAUUGCUUGAGGUUUGAAACAGAGGUGUGUUAGCUUUGCUUAGUUUAUUUCCUAUUUUUGGUAUACAUAUAAUAUUAGAAUGUGUGUAUUGGAAAUGCUACGAUAGGUAUUUGUGUUUAUCUAAAUGCAAUGAUAGUUUCUUGUAUGAAUGUGCAAGAGGCCUGUGACAGAAUGCUACAUUUUUACUGUAGUUCAAGAUUACAAAAGUAGGGAUGCAACAAUUUUUAGGCAUCUUCUAAAUUAUUCAGAUUUGGUUCAUAGCAAAUAUUCAUUGUUUUAAAGUGGGCCCAUUACACAGUGUAUUAAUGCUCAAUGGUGAGAGAAUGUAGAGGGAUUUCAUUAUACUUUAAGAAAGGGUAACUGAUGAAAAACAGCUCUUUAGUUUCAGAAAAUAAUUUAUUAUAGAAUUAUUUCUAUCACAAUCGGGUUAGUUUAAGCUGCUUUCUUUUAAAAUGUAUUAAGUAUUACUUUAUUAAAUUGGUUGCUAUAUUUAUACCUUGUCUCAUAGAAGUGCUUUUAUCCUUAAAUUGUUGUAUUCCUACACUCGAAAAUGUUUAAAACAAGUUUUUGUGCCUGCAGCUGAAUCUGCAGAAGCUAAUACAAGGGACGCUGGUCUUUUGCAAAAUACUUGUGUAAAUUUUGAUACUGUAUUAAAACUAUUUUUUUAAAGUACCACAUAAAAUUGAGUAUUAAGUAUGUGUUCAUCUUAGCAAUGGUAAUAAAUUAUUUAAUCUCA